CUCCCAACCUCAAGUGAUCUACCAGCCUCAGCCUCCCAAAGUGCUGGGAUUAUAGGCAUGAGCCACCCCGCCUGGCCUCGAAUCUAUGAAUAUCUAAAGUGAUCACUCUGAAUUGCUGUGCAGCGUUUCAGUGAGUUUGAGAUUGUUGGGAAACCGUUCAGAAACACAAACUUGCUCUUUUUAUUUAGCCAGUUGUGAAAUACCAAAGAGAGAUGAGGUGGCCGCUCUGGGGAGCAGAUGGCAGUUAUCUUUGUGCGGCUUUUCCUUAUCACUGGGACAAAGGAUACUAUAGGUAGGAUCUUGCCAGAGUUGGAAAACAGCUGAAUUCUUGUUAUGCCCCUCCUCCCUAAUACUUGAUUUUACAUUAUUUUGCAAAAUAUAUACCAACAAUCUGUGCACUUUGAUCAAGGGAAAGUAUACAAAUAUCAACCCUCCUGAUUCUUGAACAGAACUCAGCACUUGUAAAGUCGUAUCCUCCUCUGGAGAAAGAAAGCCAAGUGAGUGCCAGGUAACUCUGGAAGCCCGUGUCCUCAAGGAUAGCCAGCAUUUGGAUAUGUUUGGAUGUAUAUAUUGUAUAGUUUUGUUGAGAAAAAAACAAGAAUGAAAAAGUCAAUUAUUUCCUCUUGAUAUCCAGUAACAGUGAAUUAAACAAAUUCAAUAAUCAUCUUCAGAUACCCACUGUGUGCAAAGUGCUGUGUGCAGAAGGUCUGGUGAGUACUAAGAUGAACUGGUUACACUCCUUGGAUUCCACCCCCUGCCAUCAAGUGUUUGCAGUCCAGCACAAGAGACCCAUGUGACUAUAAGUAGCUAAGUAGGAAGCAAGAUCCUAAGACUGGAAGUGGAGUGUAAAGCACCAAGGAAGUGGGUAGGAGCAAAUAUUUUAUUCUACAGCAGGGAAAUCUUAAGAAAGCUUCAGAGAGGAAUGGCCAUGAAUGGAGUGUUGAAUAAGAGUUAAUAGGAUUUCAGCAGAUAAGGGGAAGUGAUGGUGUGCAGGAAGAAACAGGAGUACUGUUAAGAAGAAGGAGAAAUAUUAAUGAGAAGGGAGUCAGGAAAGACCUGGAGUGUGUUCAUGGUAUCACAUUUGGUCUGGUUUGGCGGAAACAGUAUGCAGGAGGGAUAUAGAAGGCAGUAAAGCUGGAAAGAUGAUCUGGCAUUGGCCAUACUUAUGUACUUAGAAUAACCCUAGAGAAGAUAAGUAUUAACCUCUAUUGAAUUUUAGAGUAGCAGGAAAAUGGUUAGGAGCAUGAGCUUUAGAAGCCAGGCAGCCCUGGAUUGUCAUUCUGUCUCUAGGACUGAAAAGCAAUGGGACCUUGUAUAGAUCUCAUAUGAGAUCUCAUAGAUCUCAUAGAAUUCUAAUUUCCUUCUCUGUAAUGUGGAUGUAACUAUAGCACCUUAUUAUGAGGGUUAAGUGAGAUAAUGUAAAUUAAAAUAUCGAAACAGGUACCCAGUACAAUCUAUGAAUGCUAGCUGGUAUUACAUUAUAAUUUUGUGGUUUCCUUAAAACAAAUCUUUAACUCUUUACUCGGAUGGUGUGUAUUUUCUUUGGUACCCUUGAUGACUCAUUUGUUCCAAAGCAUGAAUCACUAAGAAUAUCAAAAGAAUAAAUUGUUCAGAAUAUUAUUUGUACCUGUUAAGUGUUAGAAAUGUUGACUCUUGUUAAUUUAGCUCAUUAAUAUCUAUUGAGUGCCUACCGUAUGUUUAGUCUAAAGCUAUAUACUACAGGAGAAUAUAAGACAGAACUCCUGUGUUUAAGAGGCUCUUGAUCUAGUUGGGGAGAAAAAAGUAGUGUAUCUUUAUUAUACAUAAAACUAUGGUUUUGUAGUUUUCAGCCUACAUUCUUAGGCUCAGAAGUGUGUCAACAUUCUUUGAAGGUGUAUUAGGCCUUGAAAUGACUGGGCACACCAUUUUCUUUGUUCACAGCAUUCGUUGUGGAAGUGUGA